AGGAACUUGCCUUGAAAUGUUAAAAAAAAAAAGGCAGGAAAAAACCCAGCAGAAUCUAUCUUUCAUUGUAGGGGAGCCCAGGUUGUCCUGCUUAUCUGAAAUUAAGCCCAAAUCCUAAAAAUUCUGAAUACCUGCUGUCAGCCUCCUGCAAACGGGCCAGGUUGCCUAAGGAAUGUCGCGAGAGAGCUGGCAGAGGCAGAGGACAGGACAGGCACCAGCAAACACUACUUCACCAUGCAGCUAUUUUCAUGUCCUCCCAGCCCACUGAAGUGCUGAUAAUGGCUUGGGUCAAUUCAACAAACACAUUUUGGACACCUCCUUUGCACCAGACACAGUGUUCGCCGAGGCACACAGGGCGGCCGCAGGUGCCUUAGUCUGCAGGGGGGGCAGAAUCCCAGCGGGACCCUCCCAGCCCACAGUCCUGUUUGGCACUGGGCCAGGGCCAUUGAGCAGGAGAAGGAGUUGGUGCAGAAGUCAGCUCCGACUGAGAGCAGCUGCAGAAGACAGGCCUGCUCAGAAGCCAAAGUGUCUCAUUCCACAGACAGAAGUUAUAUACAGCAUAAGACGGCUGUGCCUGGAGACAAUGAAUUUCCACAUGCAGAAGACAGGGUCUUGCUUUAUUGCUCAAGCAGGAAUGGACUGGUGCAGUCAUCCCCACCGCAGCCUGAAGCUCCUGGGCUCAAGCGAUUGGAUUCUCUGCCUCUGCCUCCUGACUAGCUAGGACUAUGGGAGUAUGCCACCAUGCCCAGCUUCUUCGCCCUGAGGAGAAGAAACAUCUCAAUCUGUGAACAGAAUUAAAAGAAUCUAUUGCCUAGACCUAUUCUUGUGAAAGUUUUAAAUUUUUAGAAUAAAAAAUCCUACAAUAAAAUUUAUUACAAAGGAACAAAGAUAAGUAAGGUUUUAGACUCAACAAUAAACAUAUGUCUUCUUUUAUGAAGACACAAAAAUUUGAAGGGAAAAAUUGUGUCCAAGAAUUUUUUACCUAGCCAAUGUAUCUUCUCUUUUAUUGAUUUACUUAUUUAUUUUUAUGUAUACUUUGUUUUAUUCAUAAUUUGUAAUAUUCUUGGAUAUCAAAAGUAAUUCUAAUGAUGGCUGAAUUUAACAAAAAAAUGUUAACCUCAUUUAAAAACACAUACUGAUCCAUCUCAUUCAAUGGUAAUAGUCUCAUUUAAUGAUCAUUUAAAGGGAUGUUAAAAACAAACAUGCACUCAAUUGUAGUUUUCUUAUGAAAACUAUUUCAUUAUUGGUGGGUAGCGCAUGUAUGUAUUGUUUAAAUAAUGUAGAGGUGACUGCACAACUGCGAGAUGGGUAACUAGAUCGAUAACCAGCUCAAUGAUAAACCAG